rnacentral:lncRNA from 1 species
GCUGUAAGAGCACUGUGCAGAGCGAGUUGUUUCUUAGCUUCCCAAAGAGCUGGAAGCAAGAUGCUUUGGGGCCAUCUCUGCCCUUUGGAAACAAGGCAGCACUUUGUGCCUUGAAGCUCUAGGGCAAUGUAGCACACCCAGAGCAGAAGUUCUACUUCAGCCAGAUCAGGCCUGCAAAGAAACUGCGUUUCACAGGCCUUUGUAAGAGAUGUUCCCAGUAGUCUGUAAGAGCACUGUGCAGACUGAGUUGUUUCUUAGCUUCCCAAUGAGCUGGAAGCAAGAUGCUUUGGGGCCUAUCUUCCCCUUUGGAAACAAGGCAGGGCUUUGAGUCUUGAAGCUCUAGGGCAAUGUAGCACAUGGCAGAGCAGAAGUUCUACUUCAGCCAGAGGAGGCCUAGAAUGAAAUUGCGUUUCACAGGCCUUUGUAAGAGAUGUUCCCGGUAGGCUGUAAGAGCACUGUGCAGAGCGAGUUGUUUCUUAGCUUCCCAAAGAGCUGGAAGCAAGAUGCUUUGGGGCCUAUCUCCCCCUUUGGAAACAAGGCAGGACUUUGUGCCUUGAAGCUCUAGGGCAAUGUAGCACACCCAGAGCAGAAGUUCUACUUCAGCCAGAUCAGGCCUGCAAAGAAACUGCGUUUCACAGCCCUUUGUAAGGGAUGUUCCCGGUAGGCUGUAAGAGCCCAAUGCAGAGCGAGUUGUUUCUUAGCUUCCCAAAGAGCUGGAAGCAAGAUGCUUUGGGGCUUAUCUUCCCCUUUGGAAACAAGGCAGGGCUUUGUGCCUUGAAUCUCUAGGGCAAUGUAGCACACCCAGAGCAGAAGUUCUACUUCAGCCAGAUCAGGCCUGCCAAGAAAGUGCGUUUCACAGGCCUUUGGAAGAGAUGUUCCCGGUAGGCUGUAAGAGCCCAAUGCAGAGCGAGUUGUUUCUUAGCUUCCCAAAGAGCUGGAAGCAAGAUGCUUUGGGGCCUAUCUCUGUCCGGCUUUGGAAACAAUUCAGCACUUUGUGCCUUGAAGCUCUAGGGCAAUGUAGCACACCCACAGCAGAAGUUCUACUUCAGCCAGAUCAGGCCUGCCAAGAAACUGCGUUCAACAGGACUUUGUAAGAGAUGUUCCCCAUAGGCUGUAAGAACACUGUGCAGAGCGAGUUGUUUCAUAGCUUCCCAUAGAGCUGGAAGCAAGAUGCUUUGGGGCCUAUCUCUGUCUUUGGAAACAAUUCAGCAGUUUGUGCCUUGAAGCUCUAGAGCAAUGUAGCACACCCAGAGCAGAAGUUCUACUUCAGCCAGAUCAGGCCUGCAAAGAAACUGCGUUUCACAGCCCUUUGUAAGGGAUGUUCCCGGUAGGCUGUAAGAGC